AGCGAACGCUGGCGGCAGGCCUAACACAUGCAAGUCGAACGAACCUUUCGGGGUUAGUGGCUGACGGGUGAGUAACACGUGGGAACGUGCCUUUAGGUUCGGGAUAACUCAGGGAAAUUUGGGCUAAUAUCGAAUGUGUCCUUCGGGGGAAAGAUUAAUCGCCUUUAGAGAGGCCCGCGUCGGAUUAGCUAGUUGGUUGAGGUAAUGGCUCACCAAGGCGACGAUCAGUAGCUGGUCUGAGAGGAUGAUCAGCCACAUUGGGACUGAGACACGGCCCAAACUCCUACGGGAGGCAGCAGUGGGGAAUCUUGCGCAAUGGGCGAAAGCCUGACGCAGCCAUGCCGCGUGAAUGAUGAAGGUCUUAGGAUUGUAAAAUUCUUUAACCGGGGACGAUAAUGACGGUACCCGGAGAAGAAGCCCCGGCUAACUUCGUG
rnacentral:rRNA from 1 species